rnacentral:rRNA from 1 species
UCGGGAAUUUUGGGCAAUGGGCGAAAGCCUGACCCAGCAACGCCGCGUGAGGGAUGAAGUAUUUCGGUAUGUAAACCUCGAAAGAAUGGGAAGAAUAAAUGACGGUACCACUUAUAAGCUCCGGCUAACUACGUGCCAGCAGCCGCGGUAAUACGUAGGGAGCAAGCGUUGUUCGGAUUUACUGGGCGUAAAGGGCGCGUAGGCGGCGCGGUAAGUCACUUGUGAAAUCUCUGAGCUUAACUCAGAACGGCCAAGUGAUACUGCUGUGCUAGAGUGCGGAAGAGGCAACCGGAAUUCUUGGUGUAGCGGUGAAAUGCGUAGAUAUCAAGAGGAACACCUGAGGCGAAGGCGGGUUGCUGGGCCGACACUGACGCUGAUGCGCGAAAGCCAGGGGAGCAAACG